GAUGAACGCUGGCGGCGUGCCUAAUACAUGCAAGUCGAGCGAACGGACGAGAAGCUUGCUUUUCUGAUGUUAGCGGCGGACGGGUGAGUAACACGUGGAUAACCUACCUAUAAGACUGGGAUAACUUCGGGAAACCGGAGCUAAUACCGGAUAAUAUUUUGAACCGCAUGGUUCAAAAGUGAAAGACGGUCUUGCUGUCACUUAUAGAUGGAUCCGCGCUGCAUUAGCUAGUUGGUAAGGUAACGACUUACCAAGGCAACGAUGCAUAGCCGACCUGAGAGGGUGAUCGGCCACACGGGAACUGAGACACGGUCCAGACUCCUACGGGAGGCAGCAGUAGGGAAUCUUCCGCAAUGGGCGAAAGCCUGACGGAGCAACGCCGCGUGAGUGAUGAAGGUCUUCGGAUCGUAAAACUCUGUUAUUAGGGAAGAACAUAUGUGUAAGUAACUGUGCACAUCUUGACGGUACCUAAUCAGAAAGCCACGGCUAACUACGUG
rnacentral:rRNA from 1 species